CCUUCGAUAGCUCAGUUGGUAGAGCGGAGGACUGUAGGUAGGAUGAUGACAAUCCUUAGGUCGCUGGUUCGACUCCGGCUCGAAGGA
rnacentral:tRNA from 1 species